AAGAGACAGCAGCAGCCGCGGUAAUACAGAGGGUGCGAGCGUUAAUCGGAUUUACUGGGCGUAAAGCGUGCGUAGGCGGCUUUUUAAGUCGGAUGUGAAAUCCCUGAGCUUAACUUAGGAAUUGCAUUCGAUACUGGGAAGCUAGAGUAUGGGAGAGGAUGGAAGAAUUCCAGGUGUAGCGGUGAAAUGCGUAGAGAUCUGGAGGAAUACCGAUGGCGAAGGCAGCCAUCUGGCCUAAUACUGACGCUGAGGUACGAAAGCAUGGGGAGCAAACAGGAUUAGAUACCCCAGUAGUCCCUGUCUCUUAUAA
rnacentral:rRNA from 1 species